UUGACAUCAUAGGAGUAUUAAGGUGUUGAAUAGGCCCAGAUAAAUUCAUUAAAAAGUCUGUACAUUUUAAAGUGUUUAGGUAACCAACCAAAUAUGUCCACUUUACUUCUGUUAUUGUUACUAAAUGAGGAGAAGUUGAUGAUUUGUUUGCAACAGGCGGCUAAUUUCAGGAGAUGCUAACAAGGUGGAGAUUGUCUUACCACAAGUGGAUGUUAAUUCAGAGAAAGAGAAGGGGAGGACGACUGAACAGACCGAAACGUGCUACAUUAAGAUGUCAGUGAUUGUCAUCAGCGACAAAGGUUCAGCCUAGGACAACUAGAUGAGAUUUUAAGGGCAGUCACAGGCUACAAAAAGGAUCCAAGCAGUGAGGAGGGACUGUGAUCCUUUUCAUGGUGUGCUCUAAACAGGCUGCAUUUUACCAUUGGAAGCCAGGAAAAAAGCUUCUCCCAUAGGAGUUGGAUAACCGUGAGGAGAGACAGCAAGGCUGCGUUUAUUCCUCCCCAGCCCAGGAUGGUCCGCUGGGAGAUAAACACAGAGAAGACGAGCGUUAAUCCGGAUUGGAGCCGGAUCCUGUAACUCAGUUAAAUACACACACACACACACACACACACACUCAUUAAAUCCUGUAACUAUAACCAACCCUAACUAACACUAACCUCAUCCAACACUAAUCAUGCAACUAUCCUGACACCUUACACACCACAUUCAUGCACCAUCUUACGAGCUCAUACCUGUUCAUGUUUUUAGUCCACAUUAGGGCACUCAACCAGAUUAUUAAAAAUGUUAUCUUCAUGUCA